CGUUACGCAAUUAAUGCCGAAAGAGCCAACUUUCUUUGACCUUUGAGCUUCAUUAACAAAGAAAGAAGCGGUUCAUCAUGUCACUAAACUUAACAAAGAAACGAAAAAAAUGUUUUCUAAACGUAUUUGGUUGGCUAUCAAUGCAUAUUUUAGGAAUGUCACAACUUUCCAUGAAUUAUUUUGCGAGAUUCGCCGAGGAGUGUUUACUUAAAGCUGAAUCGCACAGGAACGAAUGAGCUAACCUUAUCUUGAAGAAGUUCGAAGUUUCUUUUCUCGUUCUCUUUAAGCUGGGCUGUGUUAAAAUUGGCGCUAUCUAUAAUAUCAAUACCACAAGGCACUCAAAGCAAUAUCUACGUUGUGGAUUUUCUGGAAGGAAAAAAUAUUAUUUUCAUAAAUAUAAUAUCAAAUACUCUUAUACAAAUCAUGCACACUGACCUGAAGUCUGCUGAUCGCUGGCACACGUAGCUUUCCUGUCAGAAACCACUGCUGGGUCAAAAGCUCAAUAACGCGUCUAAAAUAAACAAACAGAAAAAGAAACAAAGUUGAUAAAUGGGAAAAACAGAUGCAUGCAUGUUGAAGAAAUGUACUGUUGAUGCAUGAUUUAAAUCUUUAAAAAGCCUUGUGAAGGAGCCAACACUUUUACAAAAAAAAAUGAGCGCCGUGUAUAUCACCGUAAGUUGUUAAAUUUUAACUUUGACAAUUACAAAGUAAAAUACAACAAAAAAGGUUGCAAGUUUAGCAACCUUUCACCGA